AAAAAAAUGGACAAAGGAUUUGUGCAGAUAUUCCUCCAAAGAGGAUAUUCAAAUGAACAGAAAGCAAAGAAAAGAAUCACUAUUAGAUAAAAAAUACAAAUUGAAAUCACAAAGAACUAUGAUUUCACAUCUGAGAAUGUAAAUAAAUGGUACAGUACUAUGGGAAACAGUUUGGUGGUUG